rnacentral:rRNA from 1 species
GGUUAAGCGACUAAGCGUACACGGUGGAUGCCCUGGCAGUCAGAGGCGAUGAAGGACGUGCUAAUCUGCGAUAAGCGUCGGUAAGGUGAUAUGAACCGUUAUAACCGGCGAUUUCCGAAUGGGGAAACCCAGUGUGAUUCGUCACACUAUCAUUAACUGAAUCCAUAGGUUAAUGAGGCGAACCGGGGGAACUGAAACAUCUAAGUACCCCGAGGAAAAGAAAUCAACCGAGAUUCCCCCAGUAGCGGCGAGCGAACGGGGAGCAGCCCAGAGCCUGAAUCAGUGUGUGUGUUAGUGGAAGCGUCUGGAAAGGCGCGCGAUACAGGGUGACAGCCCCGUACACAAAAAUGCACAUACUGUGAGCUCGAUGAGUAGGGCGGGACACGUGGUAUCCUGUCUGAAUAUGGGGGGACCAUCCUCCAAGGCUAAAUACUCCUGACUGACCGAUAGUGAACCAGUACCGUGAGGGAAAGGCGAAAAGAACCCCGGCGAGGGGAGUGAAAAAGAACCUGAAACCGUGUACGUACAAGCAGUGGGAGCACGCUUAGGCGUGUGACUGCGUACCUUUUGUAUAAUGGGUCAGCGACUUAUAUUCUGUAGCAAGGUUAACCGAAUAGGGGAGCCGAAGGGAAACCGAGUCUUAACUGGGCGUUAAGUUGCAGGGUAUAGACCCGAAACCCGGUGAUCUAGCCAUGGGCAGGUUGAAGGUUGGGUAACACUAACUGGAGGACCGAACCGACUAAUGUUGAAAAAUUAGCGGAUGACUUGUGGCUGGGGGUGAAAGGCCAAUCAAACCGGGAGAUAGCUGGUUCUCCCCGAAAGCUAUUUAGGUAGCGCCUCGUGAAUUCAUCUCCGGGGGUAGAGCACUGUUUCGGCAAGGGGGUCAUCCCGACUUACCAACCCGAUGCAAACUGCGAAUACCGGAGAAUGUUAUCACGGGAGACACACGGCGGGUGCUAACGUCCGUCGUGAAGAGGGAAACAACCCAGACCGCCAGCUAAGGUCCCAAAGUCAUGGUUAAGUGGGAAACGAUGUGGGAAGGCCCAGACAGCCAGGAUGUUGGCUUAGAAGCAGCCAUCAUUUAAAGAAAGCGUAAUAGCUCACUGGUCGAGUCGGCCUGCGCGGAAGAUGUAACGGGGCUAAACCAUGCACCGAAGCUGCGGCAGCGACGCUUAUGCGUUGUUGGGUAGGGGAGCGUUCUGUAAGCCUGCGAAGGUGUGCUGUGAGGCAUGCUGGAGGUAUCAGAAGUGCGAAUGCUGACAUAAGUAACGAUAAAGCGGGUGAAAAGCCCGCUCGCCGGAAGACCAAGGGUUCCUGUCCAACGUUAAUCGGGGCAGGGUGAGUCGACCUCUAAGGCGAGGCCGAAAGGCGUAGUCGAUGGGAAACAGGUUAAUAUUCCUGUACUUGGUGUUACUGCGAAGGGGGGACGGAGAAGGCUAUGUUGGCCGGGCGACGGUUGUCCCGGUUUAAGCGUGUAGGCUGGUUUUCCAGGCAAAUCCGGAAAAUCAAGGCUGAGGCGUGAUGACGAGGCACUACGGUGCUGAAGCAACAAAUGCCCUGCUUCCAGGAAAAGCCUCUAAGCAUCAGGUAACAUCAAAUCGUACCCCAAACCGACACAGGUGGUCAGGUAGAGAAUACCAAGGCGCUUGAGAGAACUCGGGUGAAGGAACUAGGCAAAAUGGUGCCGUAACUUCGGGAGAAGGCACGCUGAUAUGUAGGUGAAGUCCCUCGCGGAUGGAGCUGAAAUCAGUCGAAGAUACCAGCUGGCUGCAACUGUUUAUUAAAAACACAGCACUGUGCAAACACGAAAGUGGACGUAUACGGUGUGACGCCUGCCCGGUGCCGGAAGGUUAAUUGAUGGGGUCAGCGCAAGCGAAGCUCUUGAUCGAAGCCCCGGUAAACGGCGGCCGUAACUAUAACGGUCCUAAGGUAGCGAAAUUCCUUGUCGGGUAAGUUCCGACCUGCACGAAUGGCGUAAUGAUGGCCAGGCUGUCUCCACCCGAGACUCAGUGAAAUUGAACUCGCUGUGAAGAUGCAGUGUACCCGCGGCAAGACGGAAAGACCCCGUGAACCUUUACUAUAGCUUGACACUGAACAUUGAGCCUUGAUGUGUAGGAUAGGUGGGAGGCUUUGAAGUGUGGACGCCAGUCUGCAUGGAGCCGACCUUGAAAUACCACCCUUUAAUGUUUGAUGUUCUAACGUUGACCCGUGAUCCGGGUUGCGGACAGUGUCUGGUGGGUAGUUUGACUGGGGCGGUCUCCUCCUAAAGAGUAACGGAGGAGCACGAAGGUUGGCUAAUCCUGGUCGGACAUCAGGAGGUUAGUGCAAUGGCAUAAGCCAGCUUGACUGCGAGCGUGACGGCGCGAGCAGGUGCGAAAGCAGGUCAUAGUGAUCCGGUGGUUCUGAAUGGAAGGGCCAUCGCUCAACGGAUAAAAGGUACUCCGGGGAUAACAGGCUGAUACCGCCCAAGAGUUCAUAUCGACGGCGGUGUUUGGCACCUCGAUGUCGGCUCAUCACAUCCUGGGGCUGAAGUAGGUCCCAAGGGUAUGGCUGUUCGCCAUUUAAAGUGGUACGCGAGCUGGGUUUAGAACGUCGUGAGACAGUUCGGUCCCUAUCUGCCGUGGGCGCUGGAGAACUGAGGGGGGCUGCUCCUAGUACGAGAGGACCGGAGUGGACGCAUCACUGGUGUUCGGGUUGUCAUGCCAAUGGCACUGCCCGGUAGCUAAAUGCGGAAGAGAUAAGUGCUGAAAGCAUCUAAGCACGAAACUUGCCCCGAGAUGAGUUCUCCCUGACUCCUUGAGAGUCCUGAAGGAACGUUGAAGACGACGACGUUGAUAGGCCGGGUGUGUAAGCGCAGCGAUGCGUUGAGCUAACCGGUACUAAUGAACCGUGAGGCUUAACCUU